rnacentral:rRNA from 1 species
UACGUAGGGCGCGAGCGUUGUCCGGAUUUAUUGGGCGUAAAGAGCUCGUAGGCGGCUUGUCGCGUCGACCGUGAAAACUUGGGGCUCAACCCCAAGCCUGCGGUCGAUACGGGCAGGCUCGAGUUCGGUAGGGGAGACUGGAAUUCCUGGUGUAGCGGUGAAAUGCGCAGAUAUCAGGAGGAACACCGGUGGCGAAGGCGGGACUCUGGGCCGAUACUGACGCUGAGGAGCGAAAGCGUGGGGAGCAAACAGG